rnacentral:rRNA from 1 species
AAAGAGUUCUUCGGAACUUGAGUAGAGUGGCGCACGGGUGAGUAACGCGUAAAUAAUCUACCCUGAUGUCUGGGAUAACCAGCCGAAAGGCUGACUAAUACCGGGUACAUGUUUCACUGUGGGGUGAACCAGGAAAGAUGGCCUCUUCUUGAAAGCUAUCGCAUUGGGAUGAGUUUGCGUACCAUUAGCUAGUUGGUGGGGUAAAGGCCCACCAAGGCGACGAUGGUUAGCGGGUCUGAGAGGAUGAUCCGUCACACUGGCACUGGAACACGGGCCAGACUCCUACGGGAGGCAGCAGUGAGGAAUAUUGCGCAAUGGGGGAAACCCUGACGCAGCGACGCCGCGUGAGUGAGGAAGGCCCUCGGGUCGUAAAGCUCUGUCAGAUGGGAAGAAGUGCUAUACGGUUAAUACCCGUAUGGUUUGACGGUACCAUCAGAGGAAGCACCGGCUAACUCCGUGCCAGCAGCCGCGGUAAUACGGAGGGUGCGAGCGUUGUUCGGAAUCACUGGGCGUAAAGGGCGCGCAGGCGGCUUGUUAAGUCAGAUGUGAAAGCCCACGGCUUAACCGUGGAAGUGCAUUUGAAACUGGCAGGCUUGAGUACCAGAGGGGAAGGUGGAAUUCCCGGUGUAGAGGUGAAAUUCGUAGAUAUCGGGAGGAAUACCGGUGGCGAA